GCGUCCUGUAGAACUGGUCGAAAUCUGCCGAUGCGUGGACUGAUGGGACAUGCAGGACUGCGAAGCAUGGAUCGACGCCAGCUCUUAAUCCGCGGGUUCGGGGUUCGAGUCCCUGGCGGCGCACCA
rnacentral:tRNA from 1 species